rnacentral:rRNA from 1 species
GAAGAACGCUGGCGGCGUGCUUAACACAUGCAAGUCGAGCGGAGCGGCGAACGGGUGAGUAACGCGUGAGUAACUGCCCCCCUCUCUGGGAUAACAGUUGGAAACGGCUGCUAAUACCGGAUAGUUGGGGAUGACUCGCGUCCUAUCAGCUUGUUGGUGGGGUAGUGGCCUACCAAGGCGACGACGGGUGGCCGGCCUGAGGGGGCGACCGGCCACAGUGUGCUCAGGUACUGCCCAAACUCUUACGGGAGGCAUCAGGGGGGAAUAUUGCACAAUGGGGGAAACCCUGAUGCAGCAACGCGCGUGCGGGAUGACGGCCUUCUGGUUGUAAACCGCUUUCAGCCAGGACGCGGUAGUGGCAGAAGAAGCACCGGCUAACUACGUGCCAGCAGCCGCGGUAAUUC